rnacentral:rRNA from 1 species
AAACGUAGGAGACGAGCGUUAUCCGGAUUUACUGGGCGUAAAGCGCGUGUAGGAGGCAAUACAAGUUGGAUGUAAAAUCUCCCGGCUUAACUGGGAGGCGUCGUUCAAGACUGUAUAGCUAGAGUAGUGGAGAGGUAAUCGGAACUCCGGGAGUAGCGGUGAAAUGCGUAGAUAUCCGGAAGAACACCAGAGGCGAAAGCGGAUUACAGGCCACCAACGGGAGCUAAGCCGCGAAAGCCAGGGUAGCAAACGGGAUUAUAGACACCGGUAGUCUUGGCCGUAAACGAUGUAGACUCGUCGUUUGGCAUGUAAAAGUGCUGAGUGCCUAAGCAAACGCGAUAAGUCUACCGCCUGGGGAGUACGGUCGCAAGAUUAAAACUCAAAGGAAUUGACGGGG